GUGCAACACGAAUCAAUUGGUGUCUCGUCAGUUUUUGGCAUCCUAGUGCAAAUUAGGAUUCUUUGGUAGUUUGGUUCACACUCUCUAAUUGGUUGAUAUAAACUCUGAUAAAGAACUCACAAGAUUAAAUUCGACCUCAUUGAGAAUUUGAUUUUUUCUUUUUGAGUGAUUAACGGUGAGGUUUGAUAACUUUUAUUUUUGAGUGUUGAGUGUUUUGUAGGUUUUAAAAAAA
rnacentral:lncRNA from 1 species